UACGUAGGGCGCAAGCGUUAUCCGGAAUUAUUGGGCGUAAAGAGCUCGUAGGCGGCUUGUCGCGUCGACUGUGAAAUCCCGCGGCUCAACUGCGGGUCUGCAGUCGAUACGGGCAGGCUAGAGUUCGGUAGGGGAGACUGGAAUUCCUGGUGUAGCGGUGAAAUGUGCAGAUAUCAGGAGGAACACCGGUGGCGAAGGCGAGUCUCUGGGCCAUACUGACGUGAGGGAGCGAAAAGCGUGGGGGAG
rnacentral:rRNA from 1 species